GAUGAACGCUGGCGGCGUGCUUAACACAUGCAAGUCGAACGGUGAACGAGGGAGCUUGCUCCCUCCGGAUCAGUGGCGAACGGGUGAGUAACACGUGAGCAAUCUGCCCUGGACUCUGGGAUAAGCGUUGGAAACGACGUCUAAUACCGGAUACGAGGCGUGGGGGCAUCCCCAACGCCUGGAAAGAACUUCGGUCCAGGAUGAGCUCGCGGCCUAUCAGGUAGUUGGUGAGGUAACGGCUCACCAAGCCGACGACGGGUAGCCGGCCUGAGAGGGUGACCGGCCACACUGGGACUGAGACACGGCCCAGACUCCUACGGGAGGCAGCAGUGGGGAAUAUUGCACAAUGGGCGCAAGCCUGAUGCAGCAACGCCGCGUGAGGGACGACGGCCUUCGGGUUGUAAACCUCUUUUAGCAGGGAAGAAGCGAAAGUGACGGUACCUGCAGAAAAAGCACCGGCUAACUACGUGCCAGCAGCCGCCGUAAGAC
rnacentral:rRNA from 1 species